rnacentral:lncRNA from 1 species
CGGGAGAGGAGGCUGAGCCCUGGAGCGUGGAGUGGGCAUGGGCCAGGGACACCGAGAGAGCAGCCUGCGCAGAGACGAUGGGGCAGCAGACAGGCCUGUGUGUCUGAGGAGGGGAGCCUCCAAUGGAGAAGGCUGAGGAGUGGGUGCAGGCAGGAGACUGUUGAGACUGGCCGUGGGGAACCGCAGAUGGGCGUCAGCUGGGGAAGACAGUCUAGCCGCACUGGAGAGGCAGGACUGUGGGGUCAGACGAGGGUGGGGCUGGCCUUCUGGGAGAACCCCAGAGGCUCAGCAAGAGGUACCACAGGGCUUGAGCUGUUGAGACGGAGAGAAAUGCUGAGGAUGUGGCCCGGACAGGGCCCAGAGGGACCCGGGCCUCCCUGCAUAGGUGCUUGGCAGUGCCCUCUCAGUGGUGGUAUCAACUCCUGGGCGAAGGCGAGAAGAUGGCUGGUGAAUACAGCCUGCAGGCAGGCAGCAUAUUUAAUAAGAUUAGGACUUGGGAGAAAAGUCCUGGGCUUGUAGGUGGGAGCUGAGGCCACCGCAGGGUGGGCGUUCCUGGACAGUGGGUAUUUAGAGAGCAGAAGAGACCGCAGGAACAGCCCGAGAUGACCCAGCCUCUAGAGUAGAGAUGGGGUUUCAUCAUGUUGGCCAGGAUGGUCUCGAUCUCCUGACCUUGUGAUCCACCCGCCUCGGCCUCCCAAAGUGCUGGGAUUACAGGUGUGAGCCACCGUGCCCGGCCUAAAGGACAUUUGGCAGUGUCUGGAGAUGUUUUUGUGUC